rnacentral:rRNA from 1 species
UACGUAGGGCGCAAGCGUUGUCCGGAAUUAUUGGGCGUAAAGAGCUCGUAGGCGGUUUGUCGCGUCUGCUGUGAAAACGCGAGGCUCAACCUCGCGCCUGCAGUGGGUACGGGCAGACUAGAGUGCGGUAGGGGAGAUUGGAAUUCCUGGUGUAGCGGUGGAAUGCGCAGAUAUCAGGAGGAACACCGAUGGCGAAGGCAGAUCUCUGGGCCGUUACUGACGCUGAGGAGCGAAAGCGUGGGUAGCGAACAGG